rnacentral:rRNA from 1 species
CCUGGCCUACGGGACGCAGCAGCAGGGAAUUUUCGUCAAUGGGCGCAAGCCUGAACGAGCAAUGCCGCGUGAACGAGGAAGGUCUUCGGAUCGUAAAGUUCUGUUGAAGGGGAAAAAGAGCGGAGAGAGGUAAUGAACUCCGAUUGAUAUUACCCUUCGAGGAAGUCACGGCUAACUACGUGCCAGCAGCCGCGGUAAUACGUAGGUGGCGAGCGUUAUCCGGAAUGAUUGGGCGUAAAGGGUGCGUAGGCGGCCUGCUAAGUCUGGAGUGAAAGGUACCGGCUCAACCGGUACAGGCUCUGGAA